rnacentral:tmRNA from 1 species
GGGGGCGACUUGGCUUCGACGCGGGUGGCAAAACCAGAGGUGCAUGUCGAGGUGCAGUCCCUCGUAAAUCUACUGCAAACAAUUAGUUGCCAACGACGACAACUACGCUCUGGCUGCUUAAAUAGCCAGCCUCUGGCCGCGACGUGCCGUUUCUGCGCGGAUUUUCAGGGGUAACAUUGAAUCGGAUCGCUAUGUUCACUUGUCUGGGGUGGAUGGGCUAAAAAGUUCCAGACUCACCGUCAGUACGCCCUGCCCGUCGGGAUGCUGGCGGUUAAAUCAUUGACGCGGCUACACAUGUAGAGCCAACGGCGGAGUGUUCGCGGACGCGGGUUCAAUUCCCGCCGCCUCCACCA